GAGUUUGAUCGUGGCUCAGAACGAACGCUGGCGGCAUGCCUAACACAUGCAAGUCGAACGAGACCUUCGGGUCUAGUGGCGCACGGGUGCGUAACGCGUGGGAAUCUGCCCUUGGGUCCGGAAUAACAGUGAGAAAUUACUGCUAAUACCGGAUGAUGUCUUCGGACCAAAGAUUUAUCGCCCAGGGAUGAGCCCGCGUAAGAUUAGCUAGUUGGUGGGGUAAAGGCCUACCAAGGCGACGAUCUUUAGCUGGUCUGAGAGGAUGAUCAGCCACACUGGGACUGAGACACGGCCCAGACUCCUACGGGAGGCAGCAGUGGGGAAUAUUGGACAAUGGGCGAAAGCCUGAUCCAGCAAUGCCGCGUGAGUGAUGAAGGCCUUAGGGUUGUAAAGCUCUUUUACCCGGGAUGAUAAUGACAGUACCGGGAGAAUAAGCCCCGGCUAACUCCGUGCCAGCCGCCGCCGUAAC
rnacentral:rRNA from 1 species